GCCUACGGGGCGCAGCAGUGAGGAAUAUUGGUCAAUGGCCGAGAGGCUGAACCAGCCAAGUCGCGUGAGGGAAGACGGCCCUACGGGUUGUAAACCUCUUUUGCCGGGGAGCAAAGCGAACCACGUGUGGUUCAUUGCGAGUAUCCGAAGAAAAAGCAUCGGCUAACUCCGUGCCAGCAGCCGCGGUAAUACGGAGGAUGUGAGCGUUAUCCGGAUUUAUUGGGUUUAAAGGGUGCGCAGGCGGAAGAUCAAGUCAGCGGUAAAAUUGA
rnacentral:rRNA from 1 species